GCUGGAUGUGCAGCGAAGCAGUGAGGACAAGAAUCUAGUUCCAAGCCCAUCAAGCCGGGCUAGCAUUGGGUGACCUCCUGCACCAGCCAGCCUGUCUUUCGGGGUUUGAAAUGGAUUUUCCUCCUUUCUGUGUGUGAGCACAACCCGAGGUACAGCUCUGUUACCAACGCCCAUCUCAGGUGUGCAUUUACAGGAGUCGACGUCAGAGCCUAUUCCCAAGCACACAGGCCCAAUUUUACCUCCUUAACCAUUUAGAUCCCAUCCUGCUGCCAGAAGGAUCCUGUUAGAAUGUUGAUGUGAUCAUGUCAUUUUACUGUUUAGAACCCUCUGCAACAACUCCUCCUAGCCUGGAAGGAGCAGCUUUCUGACCGAGACCCCAGAUCUAGACCGGAAAUGGUGCUGUUGCUUCUUGCCUGAAGUGUCUACACGUGGAAAG